UGUUUAGGUGAAAAUCCACCUUCGAAUGGUGCAUAGAGCAACACAAACCCUUCAAUUCACUACAAGAAAGGUGGGAAUUCCCGACGCAUUUUUACCGGCAGCCCGUACUGUGGGAAACCAUGGUCGGCGAAAUAAGCGCUUACGCUCUCUCUCUCUCUCUCUCAUAAUAAGAAGUUGUUUUCUCCCCUUUUUAACUUCUUACGUCAAAGGCUCUCCUUUUCCAAACCCUAACCCACUUCUUCUCCAAACCCCUGAUCGUUGCUAUCUCCAAACCCUAACCCUCCUCUUCUCCAAACUUUCGCAAUCGCCUGCCACACCACCAUCACAAGCAGAGUACCAUGUCUAUUCUACUUUCUACUCUAAACCCUAACCCAUCAACCGAUAUGGAUUCUUGAUGUAAAUCUCGCUAUUCCGAGUUCUCUGGUUCAAUUUCAGUUGAAUCGAGCUCGAAUGGCUGAGCGAAAGCUCUAUCGUUCGAUUAUAAGAAGAGUUACAGGGGAUUUUGGGAGAAAUCUGCAGAUUUUGAGUUCCUUUUGCAUUGGUUUUGGCCGUAAUGGAGAAUCCAGAGGUUUGAAAUUGGGAUUUGUGAGAGAAACUUAGAGAUUCGAGGAGUUUCUGUGUAGCGAAGCUCUCUGUGGCUUUAAUGGCGGACCUGCAGCAUCCUUGUGUAGUUCUUUGAAGGAAAUGCUUGCAGAUUUCCGAUCUCUCGUUGCUUCUUUUAAAGUUUCCUGUAUCAGUUGUGCAAAGGAGCUGCUCAUUGUCACAACCAUGGAGUGCUACACAGGUUACCUUUUUGUUGGUUAUUCACUGAAGGGCUUCUUCUGUGCCAGAAACAAUGUUUAUACCCAUCCUGUAUGUAGAUGAUUAUGCUUGAAGGUGCAAAGGCAACAACAGAAACUGUAGAUGCUCCGAGGACAGGAGCAUCGGCAAUAAAGUCUAUCCAGAUCUCUUUGGUACAAAAGGUGAAGCAUGGGUUCGGCAUGAGGGUUCCAAGAUCAAUGUUGAGGUUCUUCAAUCAGUGAGAAAUUUCCAUGUAUGAACUACUACUCGGCAUGAAAAAAAGGAACUGCAAGUCAGGUUUGUGGUAUUUCUAUUCCUUUAUAUACACAAUUUGGUUUUGAUUGCCCCGUAUGCAUCUGAUAUGAUUUCCGUUUUAGUUGCUCUUUGGCUCUUUCAUUAGCUGUGUCUAUAGAAACCAUCUGCCGGUGAGAUUCAAAUGUUGAUACCAUAACCUACAAAUGUGUGAGAUUUCCUAGUAGCUUAAUUUAGCACUAUUUGGAUAUGUAAAUUAACUUAUGAACAGAAUGUUUUGCUCAAUGUUGUUUAAAUCCUACAGUUUUCUAUUUGGAUCCUAUGAUCUAAUUGAAAUCUCAGAGAGGGCUGAAUUGCCUUUAGGGAAGAUGAUGAAAUGUCUGAAAUCCCAAAGAACGAAGAAAACGUCUGAUGGACAGCCCGGAUCUCUUACAAUGUGCUAUGUUGGAACAUGGGCAGCAUCUGGGUUGUGGUGACUGUAGAUGGUGGAUGCAAGAAUGCAUUGUUUCUACAUUUGAAUGUGUCUAGAUGCCCAAUAGAAAUGUCAUUUAUGUAUAGACUGUUGAGGUUGCCUAUGCUGUUUCUAAUCCGGAUGUGUUUGAGUGGUUUUGCUUCUUUGCAGCUGCAGUCAUCGGGAUGGAAGACAGAACGUCUUCUAUCGCUUUCGAUUGUUUGGAGGGCACAUUGGAUUCAUGGUCCUUCGAAUGAAAAGAUCAACUAGGUAAGCCUCUGCUCUGUUAUAUCUCCUUGUGCGUUCGAUCCUUGCUCAUGCCCCCAAUGCAGAAUAGAGGAAUUAUAUCCUGCACAGCAGUACACGACUGUUUCUUGCUGCAUGGCCCACUUUUCAGCAAUCCAUAACAUUGAGCUGAUGGCCCCACUAGGAAUUGAGACACCCAAGAAAUAUUCCAGAAUGGGUGAUCAUACAAUGCUACGAGGGCAGCAGAGUCCCGUUACUUGGAAAAUCAAUGUUCUACUUGUUUCAAGUAGGACGUGAGACAAGCGAACUAUUACUUUGGUGGAAUUGAGCACCCAUAUGGAUUUCAAGAUGAGAGAAUGAAGCUCUUGCAAGGCCUUGUUCCUGGCUGUGACAAUGUGACUGGGAAGGCUCUUAUGUUGGAUGAAAUUAUCAACUAUGUCCAGUCAUUGCAAAAUCAAGUAGAGUUCCUCUCCAUGAAGCUUGCCUCUGUGAAUCUUGUCUUUUACGACUUCAGCGUGGAUUUAGAUGACCAUAUGUCCAAAUCAGAGGUACAAACAUCACCACCUCCAUAACUGAUGUUCUCUCACCCAUGUGUUUUUGGUGCAUGCACCUCUUCUCUUCUACAAAGAGAAUGUCUCACACGCUACUAGCUGUAUAUGAGAAAAACACACAACUGGCCUAGUGUGGGGUCCACCUCCUUAUGUAUAUGGCAUCUAAGCCGUCCACAGGAGUGGACCACUAUUAAAGUGGGAUACCCAAAAACCAUUAGGCUGGAUUUCGAGGUCUCUAGGUGAUUGUCUGUUCUCUUCUAUGGUGUGGCCCAGUAGAUGAUGUGACCAUUCUAACGUU